rnacentral:tRNA from 1 species
CGGGGUGUGGCCCAGUUGGUAGGGCGGGUGCUUUGGGAGCAUCAGGCCGUCGGUUCGAAUCCGGCCACUCCGACCA